rnacentral:tRNA from 1 species
AGCUUUAUAUUCAUAAAAUGAUAUAAAAUUGCAAAUUUUAAGGAGUAAAUAAAAAUUACUAAGGCUU